GACAGGCGUGCACGCUAGGGCUCGAACCCAGGUGCAGUGGAAGGAGACAAGCCCCUUCCAUCGCUAGGCCAAGCACUGAAAUGCAGGAAUUCGGACUUU